rnacentral:rRNA from 1 species
GCUGAAGCCUGGUGCUUGCACCGGGUGGAUGAGUGGCGAACGGGUGAGUAACACGUGAGUAACCUGCCCCUGACUUCGGGAUAAGCCCGGGAAACUGGGUCUAAUACCGGAUACGACCGUCGGACGCAUGUCUGGUGGUGGAAAGUUUUUUCGGUUGGGGAUGGGCUCGCGGCCUAUCAGUUUGUUGGUGAGGUAAUGGCUCACCAAGACGACGACGGGUAGCCGGCCUGAGAGGGCGACCGGCCACACUGGGACUGAGACACGGCCCAGACUCCUACGGGAGGCAGCAGUGGGGAAUAUUGCACAAUGGGGGAAACCCUGAUGCAGCGACGCAGCGUGCGGGAUGACGGCCUUCGGGUUGUAAACCGCUUUCAGCAGGGAAGAAGCGCAAGUGACGGUACCUGCAGAAGAAGUACCGGCUAACUACGUGCCAGCAGCCGCGGUAAUACGUAGGGUACGAGCGUUGUCCGGAAUUAUUGGGCGUAAAGAGCUCGUAGGUGGUUGGUCACGUCUGCUGUGGAAACGCAACGCUUAACGUUGCGCGUGCAGUGGGUACGGGCUGACUAGAGUGCAGUAGGGGAGUCUGGAAUUCCUGGUGUAGCGGUGAAAUGCGCAGAUAUCAGGAGGAACACCGGUGGCGAAGGCGGGACUCUGGGCUGUAACUGACACUGAGGAGCGAAAGCAUGGGGAGCGAACAGGAUUAGAUACCCUGGUAGUCCAUGCCGUAAACGUUGGGCACUAGGUGUGGGGGGGCAUUCCACGUUCUCCGCGCCGUAGCUAACGCAUUAAGUGCCCCGCCUGGGGGAGUACGGUCGCAAGGCUAAAACUCAAAGGAAUUGACGGGGGCCCGCACAAGCGGCGGAGCAUGCGGAUUAAUUCGAUGCAACGCGAAGAACCUUACCAAGGCUUGACAUACACCAGACCGUCCUGGAAACAGGUCCUCUUCUUUGAAGCUGGUGUACAGGUGGUGCAUGGUUGUCGUCAGCUCGUGUCGUGAGAUGUUUGGGUUAAGUCCCGCAACGAGCGCAACCCUCGUUCUAUGUUGCCAGCACGUGGAUGGUGGGAACUCAUAGGAGACUGCCGGGGUC